rnacentral:piRNA from 1 species
UGGGUAUCCCGAGUUCCGGGGCUAAUA